AAGGGGCCGUGGGGAGGGGGGGCUUUGACAAUGAACUUGAGACAAACUUCAUUAGCAUGCAGGCCUGCUGUCUGUCACUUUGAGCUCAGACAGAGUUCCCAUGCAGGCCAGGAAGAGUGGGAGGGAGAGAAGGGGAGGGGCUGUGAGUGGGGGGUGAAAGACAAGAGCCCCCCGACCAUUGUACCGCUGGGGCCUCACCUUCCACCAAAUAUUAAACCCUAGCCCUGGAAACCAACCUCCAAAUCGUUCUCUAAGAACAAGAUAAUUUAUCUCCCACUUUGAGCCUGUGGUUCCACCCCUCCUGUCUAGACAUCCAAGAGCUGGUGGCCCCUGUCCCUAGUCCAGGUCUCAGCCUUUAUCUCCCAGUGGCCGCUUAUUCCUUCACAACCAAGAUCUAAAUUUGUGAUUGAUCCAGUUGGUUGGGCUAGGUGCCUGGGGAGCUUUGGGGAAGGAGGGACUGAGCACCCCACCCUCAAGUGGCAAAGGGUGUCUUCUACAAGUCCCCAUCAGCUCCACUCUCCACACGCCCCACACACAUUCAAUCACAGCCUCAAGUUCAAAAGUGAAUUAAAACUCAAAGAAGCCUGGGGACAGGGACAAGAGUACUUCUGUCAUUCAUUCUCUUCCCCUGCUUCCUUGGGGACAAGGGUGGCCUGGAGGAACAAUAGUGUCCCCUGGCCCCUUCUUCCUGCAUUGGGUUAGAAAAGGCAGCAGAAAGCAGUGGGGAUGACAAAGACACACACACACACACACACACACACACACACACACACACACACACACACACACACACCCCAGGCUUGAGAAGGGAGGAGGAGGCGUCUCUGGCUGGACGGACAGACUGUUAUUUUGGUGGUGGGCAUGGUCCCAGAUAGGGGCAGCGUUCCCCUUUUUCCUGGCUUUUCAGGGAGAGCAGCAAGAGAAAGAAAGAAGCAAACGAAAUUCCUGAAUGGAUAAGAGAUGCUACGUCAGCGGUACUGGAGCCGCAUCCUCCACUCCACGAGAAGAGAAGAGCUAGGAGAGACCAGCGGGCGGUAGCUGCGGCUAGUGGCCUCUCCGUGCGGCACAGAGGCAAGAAGCAGCCAUCCAUCCAGAAGCAACCUCCGUAUUCCGUUUGUCCGGAUGUCAUCGUAGGUGGCCGGCAUCUCUGGCUUUGGGCUUCUCCCCUGGGGCGGGUGGGUGCUCCACCCUCCCGCCCACUCUCUGAGGACAUGAGGAGCAUGGUAUCCAGCACCACGGACAGCUCCCAGCGGUUCCUUGAAUGCUUGGUUUAUGUGCCUGGCUGGAGGAGACACCCAUGGCCUUGCAGAGGGAGCGUUCUGGUGGGAAAGCAGACACAACCCACCCUAGGCCCGUGGUUUCCCUGCAAGAAGCCCAGUGGCUUUCUGGAGGACACUUUUCCUGGAGGAAGUGACUCAAGAGCAGCAUAA
rnacentral:lncRNA from 1 species